rnacentral:rRNA from 1 species
GAUGAACGCUGGCGGCGUGCCUAAUACAUGCAAGUCGAGCGAACAGACGAGGAGCUUGCUCCUCUGACGUUAGCGGCGGACGGGUGAGUAACACGUGGAUAACCUACCUAUAAGACUGGGAUAACUUCGGGAAACCGGAGCUAAUACCGGAUAAUAUAUUGAACCGCAUGGUUCAAUAGUGAAAGACGGUUUUGCUGUCACUUAUAGAUGGAUCCGCGCCGCAUUAGCUAGUUGGUAAGGUAACGGCUUACCAAGGCAACGAUGCGUAGCCGACAUGAGAGGGUGAUCGGCCACACUGGAACUGAGACACGGUCCAGACUCCUACGGGAGGCAGCAGUAGGGAAUCUUCCGCAAUGGGCGAAAGCUUGACGGAGCAACGCCGCGUGAGUGAUGAAGGUCUUCGGAUCGUAAAACUCUGUUAUUAGGGAAGAACAAAUGUGUAAGUAACUAUGCACGUCUUGACGGUACCUAAUCAGAAAGCCACGGCUAACUACGU